rnacentral:rRNA from 1 species
UACGGAGGGAGCUAGCGUUGUUCGGAAUUACUGGGCGUAAAGCGCACGUAGGCGGCUUUGUAAGUUAGAGGUGAAAGCCCGGAGCUCAACUCCGGAACUGCCUUUAAGACUGCAUCGCUUGAAUCCAGGAGAGGUGAGUGGAAUUCCGAGUGUAGAGGUGAAAUUCGUAGAUAUUGGGAGGAACACCGGUGGCGAAGGCGGCCACCUGGCCCGCAACUGACGCUGAAGCGCGAAAGCGUGGGGAGCAAACAGG